GGCGGCGGCAGCGGCCGCGAGGACGGAGGCGGAGGCCGAAGGGGACUGUACACUGGUCGUUGCGGAGAGGCGUGCGAAGGCCAACUCAAGCCCCCGAGGACCUUGUUGCCCCGGCCGGGCCGCCAGCCACAGCCUUCUCUCUAGCAGCAGAGGCUGCGCGGCGACCCCCCAUCCUUCCACCGCCCCUGCCCACCCCACCUCCCGCAGCCUUCCUCUCAGCUUCACGCCCGGCCCGGCCCGGCCGCGGCCCUCCUCGGUGCCGGCAGCCAUGGCAGAGGCGUCCGGGGCGAGGGAAAUCUAGCCCGGGGAUUUCAUGCGGCCUAGCUUGGUUCUGUCUUCUCUCCCCGCAGCCCCGGCGGCUGCCCGCACCCCAGCCCCACUCCAGGCCUCAGUGUCUCUCCUGUGAUCGUACUGACACGGCCGGGGGGUUAGAAUGGAACAAACUGAAGGCCCGAUGAGAGAAAGGGAAAGUUAAGGAUGCUGGAGCAGAACAAUGGAUUUCUCUUUCUCUUUCAUGCAAGGGAUCAUGGGAAACACAAUUCAGCAACCACCUCAACUCAUUGACUCCGCCAACAUCCGUCAGGAGGAUGCCUUUGAUAACAACAGUGACAUUGUUGAAGAUGGUGGCCAGACACCAUAUGAAGCUACCUUGCAGCAAGGCUUUCAGUACCCACCUACAACAGAAGAUCUUCCUCCACUCACAAAUGGCUAUCCACCAUCAAUCAGCAUGUAUGAAACUCAAACCAAAUACCAGUCAUAUAAUCAGUAUCCCAGUGGAUCAGCCAAUGGCUUUGGUGCAGUUAGAAACUUUAGCCCCACUGACUAUUACCAUUCAGAAAUUCCAAACACAAGACCACAUGAAAUUCUGGAAAAACCUUCUCCUCCACAGCCACCACCUCCUCCUUCGGUACCACAAACUGUGAUUCCAAAGAAGACUGGCUCACCUGAAAUUAAACUAAAAAUAACCAAAACUAUCCAGAAUGGCAGGGAAUUGUUUGAGUCUUCCCUUUGUGGAGACCUUUUAAAUGAAGUACAGGCAAGUGAGCACACAAAAUCAAAGCAUGAAAGCAGAAAAGAAAAGAGGAAAAAAAGCAACAAGCAUGACUCAUCUAGAUCUGAAGAGCGCAAGUCACACAAAAUCCCCAAAUUAGAACCAGAGGAACAAAAUAGACCAAAUGAGAGGGUUGACACUGUGUCAGAAAAACCAAGAGAAGAGCCAGUACUAAAAGAGGAACCCCCGGUUCAGCCAAUAUUACCUUCUGUUCCAACAACAGAAGUGUCUGCUGGUGUUAAGUUCCAGGUUGGCGAUCUUGUUUGGUCUAAGGUGGGAACCUAUCCUUGGUGGCCUUGCAUGGUUUCAAGUGAUCCCCAGCUCGAGGUUCAUACCAAAAUUAACACAAGAGGUGCCCGGGAGUAUCACGUCCAGUUUUUUAGCAACCAGCCAGAGAGGGCAUGGGUUCAUGAAAAGCGAGUACGAGAGUGUAAAGGUCAUAAACAGUAUGAAGAAUUAUUGGCUGAAGCAACCAAACAAGCCAGCAAUCACUCUGAGAAACAAAAGAUUCAGAAACCCUGACCUCAGAGAGAACGUGCUCAGUGGGAUAUUGGCAUUGCCCAUGCAGAGAAGGCAUUGAAAAUGACCCGAGAAGAAAGAAUAGAACAGUAUACUUUUAUCUAUAUUGAUAAACAGCCUGAGGAGGCUUUGUCCCAAGCAAAAAAGAAUGUUGCCUCCAAAGCUGAAGUUAAGAAAACCCGAAGACCAAGGUCAGUGCUGAAUACUCAGCCAGAACAGACCAAUGCAGUUGAGGUGGCCUCCUCACUCUCAAGUACUGAAAUUCGGAGACAGAGCCAGAGGCGGCACACAAAUGUGGAAGAAGAAGAACCACCUCCUGUUAAAAUAGCCUGGAAAACGGCCGCCGCGAGGAAAUCUUUACCGGCUUCCAUUACAAUGCACAAAGGGAGCCUGGAUUUGCAGAAGUGUAACAUGUCUCCAGUUGUGAAGAUUGAACAAGUGUUUGCUCUUCAGAAUGCUACAGGAGAUGGGAAAUUUAUUGAUCAGUUUGUUUAUUCAACAAAGGGAAUUGGUAACAACACGGAAAUAAGUGUCAGGGGACAGGACAGACUUCUAAUUUCUACACCAAACCAGAGAAAUGAAAAGGCAACUCCGAAUAUAUCAUCUCCUGAAGCAACAUCUGGUCCUACAGGCUCAGUAGAAAAGAAGCAACAGAGAAGAUCGAUUAGAACUCGAUCUGAAUCAGAGAAAUCCACUGAGGUUGUGCCAAAGAAGAAGAUCAAAAGGGAGCAGGUUGGCUUCCUACAUGUAGAGAGUUAA